GACGAACGCUGGCGGCGUGCUUAACACAUGCAAGUCGAACGGAAAGGCCCUGCUUUUGUGGGGUGCUCGAGUGGCGAACGGGUGAGUAACACGUGAGUAACCUGCCCUUGACUUUGGGAUAACUUCAGGAAACUGGGGCUAAUACCGGAUAGGAGCUCCUGCUGCAUGGUGGAGGUUGGAAAGUUUCGGCGGUUGGGGAUGGACUCGCGGCUUAUCAGCUUGUUGGUGGGGUAGUGGCUUACCAAGGCUUUGACGGGUAGUCGGCCUGAGAGGGUGACCGGCCACAUUGGGACUGAGAUACGGCCCAGACUCCUACGGGAGGCAGCAGUGGGGAAUAUUGCACAAUGGGCGGAAGCCUGAUGCAGCAACGCCGCGUGCGGGAUGACGGCCUUCGGGUUGUAAACCGCUUUCGCCUGUGACGAAGCGUGAGUGACGGUAAUGGGUAAAGAAGCACCGGCUAACUACGUG
rnacentral:rRNA from 1 species